rnacentral:rRNA from 1 species
CCUACGGGAGGCAGCAGUGAGGAAUAUUGGUCAAUGGGCGGAAGCCUGAACCAGCCAAGUCGCGUGAGGGAUUAAGGCCCUAUGGGUCGUAAACCUCUUUUGUCAGGGAGCAAUGGCGUCCACGUGUGGGCGUAUGGAGAGUACCUGAAGAAAAAGCAUCGGCUAACUCCGUGCCAGCAGCCGCGGUAAUACGGAGGAUGCGAGCGUUAUCCGGAUUUAUUGGGUUUAAAGGGUGCGUAGGUGGUUAAUUAAGUCAGCGGUGAAAGUUUGUGGCUCAACCAUAAAAUUGCCGUUGAAACUGGUUG